AUUGAACGCUGGCGGCAUGCUUUACACACGCAAGUCGAAGGGUAACAGGUUAAGCUGACGAGUGGCGAACGGGUGAGUAAUGCAUCGGAACGUGCCCGAUCGUGGGGGAUAACGCAGCGAAAGCUGCGCUAAUACCGCAUACGAUCUGAGGAUGAAAGCGGGGGACCGUAAGGCCUCGCGCGAUCGGAGCGGCCGAUGUCAGAUUAGGUAGGUGGGGGGGUAAAGGCCCACCAAGCCGACGAUCUGUAGCUGGUCUGAGAGGACGACCAGCCACACUGGGACUGAGACACGGCCCAGACUCCUACGGGAGGCAGCAGUGGGGAAUUUUGGACAAUGGGCGAAAGCCUGAUCCAGCAAUGCCGCGUGCAGGAAGAAGGCCUUCGGGUUGUAAACUGCUUUUGUACGGAGCGAAAAGGUCCUUUCUAAUACAAGGGGCUCAUGACGGUACCGUAAGAAUAAGCACCGGCUAACUACGUGCCAGCCGCCGCAGUAA
rnacentral:rRNA from 1 species